UGGCGGACGGGUGAGUAAUGUCUGGGAAACUGCCCGAUGGAGGGGGAUAACUACUGGAAACGGUAGCUAAUACCGCAUAACGUCGCAAGACCAAAGAGGGGGACCUUAGGGCCUCUUGCCAUCGGAUGUGCCCAGAUGGGAUUAGCUAGUAGGUGGGGUAAUGGCUCACCUAGGCGACGAUCCCUAGCUGGUCUGAGAGGAUGACCAGCCACACUGGAACUGAGACACGGUCCAA
rnacentral:rRNA from 1 species